UACGGGGGGGGCAAGCGUUGUUCGGAAUUACUGGGCGUAAAGGGCUCGUAGGUUGCCAACUAAGUCAGACGUGAAAUCCCUCGGCUUAACCGGGGAACUGCGUCUGAUACUGGAUGGCUUGAGUUCGGGAGAGGGAUGCGGAAUUCCAGGUGUAGCGGUGAAAUGCGUAGAUAUCUGGAGGAACACCGGUGGCGAAGGCGGGUCUCUGGGCCGUAACUGACGCUGAGGAGCGAAAGCAUGGGGAGCGAACAGG
rnacentral:rRNA from 1 species